rnacentral:tRNA from 1 species
GGGCGCUUAGCUCAGCGGGAGAGCGCUGCCUUGACGCGGCAGAGGUCACUGGUUCGAUCCCAGUAGCGCCCACCG